GGGGGGCUGGUGUGAGACCCGAGGCUCCGAUGGGAGGAGGUCUGGUCUGUCCACGGGGCCAGCAAAACACCUUCAUCCCAAUUUCAUCGCAUUCCUUCUAAGUAUCCGAAUUUGAAGAAAAAGCAAAACUGUUGAGUGGUCAGAUGGCCCCCACCUGGCGUUGCCGGUGAGCGGAACCCAGUGCUGGUUAUUUCUGGCUAGAGGCGCACCGAGGCCGGCCCUGGGUCUGGCCCUGGGGUGGCGCCACCAGGUUACUUGCCCACCGGUGAAGGAUGGCAGCUUUACAGCUCCCCGACGCAUCAGACUAAAGAACGUUGGCCAGGGUCUGCACCGGUGGUUCUCAAAGUACAGUCCCCAGAUCCGCAGCAUCAGCACCGCCUGAGAACUACUUAGAAAUGCACAUUCUCGGCCCUGGAUAGGCAGCUCUGGCAGUGGGGCCUAGCAGCGGGUGUUUAAACAAGCCACGGGUCUAGACGUUCCUUUCUGUUUCUAAAAGAGGCCUUGCUUUCCUAAGACAGUUGCUGUGAACCAGCUUUUUCCUUUUGCUGUCUUGCCCCUGCAAGUGUGAAAUAGAACUUUGACCCGUGCUCGAAAUUA
rnacentral:lncRNA from 1 species